rnacentral:tRNA from 1 species
GGUUGUGGCUCAGUGGUAGAGCUCUUACCUAGCAUACAUGAGGCAGAGGCACUGGGUUCAAUCCCUGGCACCA